ensembl:lncRNA
AUGUUAUUUUGUCUCUUGAGUCAGCAGUUAUGUCCUCACAUUUCAUGGAAAGUAAUAGGAAAGGGUGUCAGAAUUACAGCACCCAAGAGCAAAAACUUUCCAGGGAAGGAACCAAACUUCGCACUUAAUUUUAUAAUGUGGAUUGAAGAUUUUCAGUCUAGGGGGAAAAAUAUGGAAUGCACAAAAGAAAGAAAUACUUCUGGUACAGAACCCUCAGUUUUACAGCCUUUUAUAGAUAAAGACUGUGGCACAUGUCAAGGAAAAUGGUUCUGCUGUGGAAAAGAUUGUUACUAUUUUUCAAAAGAAGAGAAAAGUUGGGAUGAGAGUGCAAAGUUGUUGUUAUGUUUUGAAGUCCUUUGAUAGUAAUGGGCCUUUUAAUGUGUUAAUACUUGUGUCACAUAGGAGAUAAGGCAAUAAUAAUCAAUCCUAAUUUAAAGUAUAAAAAAGGAUUUUGAUAAAAAUCAGCUAAUCAUUCUUGAUGUUUACAUUAUUUUCUUUUUAAAAAUUUAUUUUAUUGGAGUAUAGCUGAUUUACAAUGUGUUAAUUUCUGCUGUACAGUGAAGUGAUUCUUUUUCAUAUUCUUUUCCAUUAUGGUUUAUCAGAGGAUAUUGAAUGUAGUUCCCUGUGCUAUACAGUAGGAACUCAUUGUUUAUCCACUCUAUGUAUAACAGUUGGCAUCUGCUAAUCCUAAACUCCAAUCCAUUCCUCCCCCACCCCCUCACCUCCUUGGCAACCACAAGUCUGUUCUCUAUGUCUGUGAUUCUGUUGCUGUUUCAUGAAUAAGUUCAUUUGUGUCAUAUUUUAGAUUCCACAUACAAGUGAUAUCAUAUGGUAUUUGUCUUUCUCUUUCUGACUUAACUUUACUUAGUGUGAUAAUCUCUAGGUCCAUCCACGUUGCUGCAUUAUUUCAUUCUUUUUUAUAGUGUUCACAUUGUUUUCAUUGUUAAAAAAGAUGAGGGCUAAAUUACAUAUAGGGGUCUCUCUUCCCAGGAAUUUAUUCAGUCUUUGGUAUCUUAUUUUUAUUGGAUUAGAUUAUCUCGGAAAGGGAUUGUCAGCCCCUGGAUGUGGGAAGAUGGCUCCUUGAUACACGAUAAUGUGUAAAACACACUUGAGAUCUUCAGUUCAUUUGUUAAGUAUGGAAAUGUGUUGCCCAGAUAAGUUUCACAAAGCAAAGCUUUCUGACCUCAACAGCAACCCUAAAAGUUUAAUUUUAGUAUUAUAAAAUAUCCUUGGCAUUAGAAAAACCCUGCAGACUUCCAUGCUUCUGUACUUGUAUUCAUGUGGUUUCCUCAACUAGCAAUGCUUUUCCCUUAGAACUUUGAGUUAGAAUUCACUUUCUCUUUGAAGUCAUUCUUGAUCUUCAGCUUUGAAAUGAGUUCUUUUGCUAUGCUCUGAAAUAACAUGUUUUUCCUUUUACCAUUUCAUGUCCAAUCUAGAAUAUGGUGUCUCUCAUCUUUUGUUCACCGAUAGCACACAAGACAUUAUACUUGAUGGUUACUUCAUAAAUUAAAAUAUUAUCAAUAUGGAUGUUAAUGAAGUUUCUAGAUCAAGAAAUAUAUAGGGAGUAACUGAAAAUUUGGGGGUUCAAUGACUAGUCCCAUGGUUUAAAUCAAGUACCUUCACUCUCCAUCUGAUUGUCUUCAAUGUCUAGCAAAGCCCAUUCCAUGUCACAAACAAGUAUACACUACCAAGAAACGAUUUGAAAAUGAGUUGGCUUGGACUCAGUGUAAUAAGUUUUUUUCCCAUUUUUUAAUGAUACAUCUUUCUAUGAUCCAUGGGAUCAUAGAGUUUUAGAACUAUAGAUAACAUUGAAGAUCAGAUGAAUUUUUCUCUACUCAUAUUAAAUAAACUAAGACAGUCCCAACA